AGAGUUUGAUUAUGGCUCAGGAUGAACGCUAGCGGCAGGCCUAAUACAUGCAAGUCGAACGGAUCUAGGCAGCAAUGCUUAGAUUAGUGGCGCACGGGUGCGUAACGCGUAUGCAACCUACCUUUUAUUGGGGGAUAGCCCGAAGAAAUUCGGAUUAAUACCGCAUAACAUCAUGUGAGGGCAUCCGAAGAUGAUGAAAGCUGAGGCGAUAAAAGAUGGGCAUGCGUGUCAUUAGCUAGUUGGUUGAGGUAACGGCUCACCAAGGCGACGAUGACUAGGGGUUCUGAGAGGAUGAUCCCCCACACUGGUACUGAGAUACGGACCAGACUCCUACGGGAGGCAGCAGUAGGGAAUAUUGGGCAAUGGCGGAAACGCUGACCCAGCCAUGCCGCGUGCCGGAUGAAGGCCUUCUGGGUUGUAAACGGCUUUUACCAGGGAAGAACCUACCUUUGCGAAGGGAACUGACGGUACCUGGUGAAUAAGCACCGGCUAACUCCGUGCCAGCAGCCGCGGUAAUACGGAGGGUGCAAGCGUUGUCCGGAUUUAUUGGGUUUAAAGGGUGCGUAGGCGGCUUGGUAAGUCCGUGGUGAAAGCCUCUAGCUCAACUAGAGAACUGCCAUGGAUACUGCCAGGCUUGAGUACAGACGAGGUAGGCGGAAUGGAUCGUGUAGCGGUGAAAUGCAUAGAUACGAUCCAGAACACCGAUUGCGUAGGCAGCUUACUAGGCUGUAACUGACGUUGAGCACGAAAGCGUGGGGAGCGA
rnacentral:rRNA from 1 species